rnacentral:rRNA from 1 species
CACGAAGACAGGUGCUGCAUGGUUGUCGUCAGCUCGUGUCGUGAGAUGUUAGGUUAAGUCCUGCAACGAGCGCAACCCUCAUAUACAGUUGCCAUCAUUCAGUUGGGAACUCUGUAUAGACUGCCGUGGUUAACACGGAGGAAGGUGGGGAUGACGUCAAAUCAUCACGGCCCUUACGGCCUGGGCUACACACGUGCUACAAUGGCUAUUACAAAGAGUUGCAAUAUGGUAACAUGGAGCGAAUCUCAAAAAGAUAGUCUCAGUUCGGACUGUGGGCUGCAACCCGCCCACACGAAGUCGGAGUUGCUAGUAAUCCCGAAUCAGCAUGUCGGGGUGAAUGCGUUCCCGGGUCUUGUACACACCGCCCGUCAAGCCAUGGGAGUCGGGAGUGCCCGAAGUCGGUGACCUAACCGUAAGGAAGGAGCCGCCUAAGGUAAUACCGAUGACUGGGGUUAAGUCGUAACAAGG